rnacentral:rRNA from 1 species
AUACGGAGGGUGCAAGCGUUGUCCGGAAUCAUUGGGCGUAAAGAGUUCGUAGGUGGUUUGUUAAGUUUGGUGUUAAAUGCAGAGGCUCAACUUCUGUUCGGCAUCGGAUACUGGCAGACUUGAAUGCGGUAGAGGUAAAGGGAAUUCCUGGUGUAGCGGUGAAAUGCGUAGAUAUCAGGAGGAACAUCGGUGGCGUAAGCGCUUUACUGGGCCGUAAUUGACACUGAGGAACGAAAGCCAGGGUAGC